rnacentral:sRNA from 1 species
AACUGAGAGAUCUGUUUGCCUCAGUCUCCUAGGAUUAAAGGCAUAUACUAUGUUGCCUGGGCCUAAGCGUUUCAUGGUCACUGUGCCUCAAGAUCUGGAUCGAAAGCCUGUGUCAUCCUGUGUCAAGAUCCCAGUCAGAAGCCUGUGUCCUCCAGUCAAGAUCUGGAUCACAGCUGUGCCCUCCAUUUCUGGAUUGCUGCUCAUUCCAUUUGUAGUCAAGGUGACAACCGCCGGGAUAGCCUUCACACCAAGCAUGGUGACAUAGACUCACUGGCAUCUGUGUGGAGGCUCACCUGUAAUCCCAGAAGUUGGAGACAGGAGGACUGCUACGAGUUCAAGGCCAUCCUGGGUCGUAGAUAUCCCAUGGCUACCUGAGAUGUCAGUGUGAAAUGAAACUAUGCUACAGUCUCUCCUCCCUUCAAAUGUCCUCUCACAGAUGCCUCCCCUGUGGAGACACCAGGCAUGUCUUGGAUCCAUCUAGGACUCUCCCUGAACUGCUGAACUCCCAGCAUGCAGCAGUCCCAAGAGCAGAAUAAGACAAAAAA